GAAAACUGAAGAAGAGAGAGCCGGUCUUUAGUGGGCUCAGGCUGGGACCAUUGGCUCAGACAGGCCUCUCAGGACUUCAUAUCUCUGCACCGUCGCCUGUGCCUUUAGAUUUCAUCACUCUACACUAAUUUUCACAGCUGUACUGUAAAAUCCAUAGGAAACUCUCAGAAGCUACUGAAAAGAACCUACUAUAUAACCAAUAAGUGAUUAAGUGAAUCUUGUAAGCCAUAGAGACUCCCACAGUAACCAAGCACUGGACCAGAGGCCCAAAACACAAGCUGGGCCAACACCCAUGGAAACUGAUGAAUCACUGGUAUAUAGUCCAUCUGCUUUGUGGAAACUACCUGAGUCUGUUCCAGCCCACCUGAUACAUAUCAUUUGACAACUGGAAAGGAAAAUGUGGGUCUGUUGAUAUGGGAAAGAUACUUCUGGACCAAAAAAAGAGAACUCCAGGAGAAAUGUAAGGGAACAUUCAAAUAAGCUAUAUAUGGUAGAGUCCAAUUUUAGUCACUACAACACAAAUGUUUGGGGGGGGUAGUGUUGGCAGCAGGGGUGGAGAAAAGGCAGUGUUCUUUCAUUUCUAUAGUAAUCUACUAUUCUCAAGCUUCCAGUCUUGACGAUUCAGAGGUAUGAACUUGUUGACUAAAAAAUGUUUUUAAGAAUUUUUUUAAAACCACAGUCUCCUCUAAUUUAAAGCAGGUAAGUUUGCAGUCCCAUCAAAGUUCAAACACUUUAGUGAAGCUAUUUCUGCCUUUACAAGCAGACUUCCUUCCCUCUCCUCCCUCUCAAUACCGCAUCUGUACGUGAUAGAGGUAAAAGGGGCCUGGGGUCACAGGGCCUUCCUCUGAAUCACCUGGGGAUGAUAUUGAUGACUUCUUACAAGGUGGCUGGUCUGAUCUGGUCCUGGCUAUACUGCGUUACAUUGGAUCUUGCAAUGUGGCUAAUCCCACAAGUCCUUUUUGUUAUGGGAUGGUUCUGCACUACAAUUCAUUCUGAUGCUAAUCACUGCAGUUAGUGCCAGAUUUCUCAGAUUUUAGGGCACAAUCUAAAGCAAAACUGCCCCACUUCAGAUGCUAGUCACAAGUUUGGGGAUCCUCAGGCCACUAGCACUUCUGACCAACUGGCUACAAAUCCAGAAGGUCUCCAUGACCUCCCUUAGGUUUGAUAAUUCACUAGAAUGACUUACAGAACAACUUGCAGAACUCAGGGAAAGUGCUCUACUUACAAUUACAGUUGUAUUAUAAAGGAUACAAAUCAGGGCCUGUCAAAUGAAGAGACUCAUAAGGAGAGGUCGAGGGAAAGGAGGUGGUCCCAAACAUAGAACUUCCGUGCACUCUCCCCAUAGAAUUACAUGUCAC
rnacentral:lncRNA from 10 species